rnacentral:rRNA from 1 species
UGAGGAAUUUUGCGCAAUGGGGGAAACCCUGACGCAGCAACGCCGCGUGAGUGAUGAAGGCUUUCGGGUCGUAAAGCUCUGUCAAGUGGGAAGAACCUGCUCGAUGUUAAUACCAUCUAGCACUGACGGUACCACUAAAGGAAGCACCGGCUAACUCCGUGCCAGCAGCCGCGGUAAUACGGGGGGUGCAAGCGUUAUUCGGAUUUAUUGGGCGUAAAGGGCGCGUAGGCGGUCUCUAUAGUCAGAUGUGAAAGCCCGGGGCUUAACCCCGGAAGUGCAUUUGAAACUCAGGGACUUGAGUAUGGGAGAGGGAAGUGGAAUUCCUGGUGUAGCGGUGAGAUGCGUAGAUAUCAGGAGGAACACCAGUGGCGAAGGCGACUUCCUGGACCAAUACUGACGCUGAGGCGCGAAGGCGUGGGGAGCAAACAGGAUUAGAUACCCUGGUAGUCCACGCCGUAAACGAUGUCAACUAGGUGUUGGGGAGGUUAAUCUUCUCAUUGCCGCAGCUAACGCAUUAAGUUGACCGCCUGGGGAGUACGGUCGCAAGAUUA